GAUGAAGAACGCAGUGAAAUGCGAUAAGUAAUGUGAAUUGCAGAAUUCAGUGAAUCAUCGAAUCUUUGAACGCACAUUGCGCCCAUUAGUAUUCUAGUGGGCAUGCCUGUUCGAGCGUCAUUUCAACCCUUAAGCCUAGCUUAGUGUUGGGAAUCUGCUGUAUUGCAGUUCCUCAAAUACAACGGCGGAUCUGUAACAUCCUCUGAGCGUAGUAAAUUUUUAUCUCGCUUUUGUUAGGUGUUGCAGCUCUCAGCCGCUAAACCCCCCAAUUUUUGUGGUUGACCUCGGAUCAGGUAGGAAUACCCGCUGAACUUAAGCAUACAAUAAGCGGAGGA
rnacentral:misc_RNA from 1 species